GAUGAACGCUGGCGGCGUGCCUAAUACAUGCAAGUCGAGCGAACAGAUAAGGAGCUUGCUCCUUUGACGUUAGCGGCGGACGGGUGAGUAACACGUGGGUAACCUACCUAUAAGACUGGAAUAACUCCGGGAAACCGGGGCUAAUGCCGGAUAACAUUUAGAACCGCAUGGUUCUAAAGUGAAAGAUGGUUUUGCUAUCACUUAUAGAUGGACCCGCGCCGUAUUAGCUAGUUGGUAAGGUAACGGCUUACCAAGGCAACGAUACGUAGCCGACCUGAGAGGGUGAUCGGCCACACUGGAACUGAGACACGGUCCAGACUCCUACGGGAGGCAGCAGUAGGGAAUCUUCCGCAAUGGGCGAAAGCCUGACGGAGCAACGCCGCGUGAGUGAUGAAGGUCUUCGGAUCGUAAAACUCUGUUAUUAGGGAAGAACAAAUGUGUAAGGAACUGUGCACGUCUUGACGGUACCUAAUCAGAAAGCCACGGCUAACUACGUG
rnacentral:rRNA from 1 species